ACAGUCGCUGAUGGUCUCCAACUGCUCCCGAUAAUGCAGGAUGUUGAUGCCUAAGAAGAACCGGAUUGCCAUUUAUGAACUCCUUUUUAAGGAGGGAGUCAUGGUGGCCAAGAAGGAUGUCCACAUGCCUAAGCACCCGGAGCUGGCAGACAAGAAUGUGCCCAACCUUCAUGUCAUGAAGGCCAUGCAGUCUCUCAAGUCCCGAGGCUACGUGAAGGAACAGUUUGCCUGGAGACAUUUCUACUGGUACCUUACCAAUGAGGGUAUCCAAUAUCUCCGCGAUUACCUUCAUCUGCCCCCGGAGAUUGUGCCUGCCACCCUACGCCGUAGCCGUCCAGAGACUGGCAGGCCUCGGCCUAAAGGUCUGGAGGGUGAGCGACCUGCGAGACUCACAAGAGGGGAAGCUGACAGAGAUACCUACAGACGGAGUGCUGUGCCACCUGGUGCUGACAAGAAAGCUGAGGCUGGGGCUGGGUCAGCAACCGAAUUCCAGUUUAGAGGCGGAUUUGGUCGUGGACGUGGUCAGCCACCUCAGUAAAGUUGGAGAGGAUUCUUUUGCAUUGAAUAAACUUACAGCCAAAAAACCUUAA
rnacentral:sRNA from 1 species